GUGUGCCACCCUAUAAGACAUGUUCUCUCAAGGAUUACAUCCCUGGCAGCUGAUUGACAGAAAGAAGAAGGAACCAGCAUCAAGGGCAUUGGCAUUCCAGUGUAAUGGAAAGGCAGGGCAGCUGGCAGAAUUUGCUGGACAAGGAAUAUGCUGGAUCAGUGGAUUGGGCCCUUGCUGUCCAGAGCAUUUAGAACGGAGAUAGGAACCCUGUGGCUCACCAGAUGUUGUUAGACCAACUAUUCAUCUUCAGAGGAGAACUAUUUAUACAAAAGAAAUGUUGGAAGAAUUUUUGUAAUAUUAAUUCCACUGAUUACAUUAUGCAGAGAGCAAAUGUAAGUGAAAUUUAUAAAUACUGUACUAGACAAGGGGUCACUGAUGGGGGGGGCUUGAAUGUUACAAGUAUGCACUGGGGCCAGAGGUUUGAGCACUGGACACAUGCAAGCAAAAUAUUUUUUUUGAAGAAGUACGGUCUGUACUGAGAAUUACCUUUAAAAUUAACUAUGCAUACUGUGCACCCUCACAAGUUAUCUUUUUUGGAAUUCACUAAGAUGUGGCGGCUCUUGUAAUUAGAUACAGAUAGUGGCUGACAAGACGGGUGGAUGGGUGGGGGAGACUUCUACAUUUCUUUGUUCCCAAAGUCAAUUAUUCUUCCAAAUCCUUUUGAGCUGAAAGAGAAUAAUAUCACAAAGUUAAAACUUGACAACAUUUCCAGUGGUGUAUUCUGUGCGGCCAUUGUAAGUGCUUCUGUGAACAGGGGGGUGCUGUGAUUACAGGUGACACAGAGCUCCCAGAGGUACAUUUGACUUUCAUAUACUGAGGCCAUUGCAGAAGAUUACCAAAGUCUGUCAGGACAAGUAAUUCCAAGCGACUGUGGGAAAGGAGAUAGUGUGUGUGUGUUUUUGUGUGAUGUAUAAAUUGGAGGAAGGACAGGAAUGGCUUGGACACAGCUCCAAACCUACAAUAUGGCCAAAACUAAUUGGCAACAGAAAAAUGAGGCUUCUAGAUUCUCUGUAAUUCAAAGUCAGGGCCUCUACCAUUAUGGAGAGUGAGGCAUCUGCCUCAGUGGGCAUAUGCUUGGGGAAACAGCGAUAGCUCCCUGACUGCUCUUCAGGAGCCCCACAGUCAUUCCCACACAGAGCUCUGUGUGCCUCAUGGUUUGUCCUGGUCCUGCAAACCAGCCCUGCUGCCUCAGAUGUGUAUCACUUUCACAGAGACAUCCUUUGCUAAGCAAAUGAAAUCCUUUCACUCAACUCUGUGCAAUCCUGAGCAGCCUUUGCUACAUUUGCGGUUCUCCUACAUUUUGAUAAAUUUGCUGGGAGCAGAACUAAAAUAAGAAAUAAUUACAGAAUUACAGAAGGGCUCUCCAAAGCCACUUAUACGGUCUACAGGUGAUCCUCUGCCACAUAACAUCUCCAGUUUCCGAUGUUGGAGAGUUGAGUGGUUUGGAUUUUUUUCUGGACAUACUACAUAAUCCUAGCCAUUAGCAAACUUCAGUGUCACACAGUUUGAGAACCAGAAUCACUUUUCAAGUACAAGUGAGAAAUGUUCCUGGCACUUAAACCCAUCUUUCUCUCACAGGCUCUCCUGUGGGAUUUUUAUUUAUUUAUUCUGACACAUCAAUAUUUUGCUCUGAAUUUCAUGUGGGAUCUUUCCCUUCUAAAGACGUUUAUACUGUACAGUAGUUUCCAUUUGCACUUGGUGCUUCCCCUCUCUCCUUAUCCAGGAGCUGGAUGUGCUGGUCUGGAAUUAGAAGAGACAGACAUUCUGUCCAAAGAGUAUUUGCUCUAAGAAAUGUGAAGAGUCCAAGCCAAUUACAGUAAUGAGAUGAAGAGGGUGGGGUGGACACUAGACCAGAAGAGAGGUAAUUUGACUGACCAUCACUAUCAG